CGCGUAGGCGGCCUGGUUAGUCAGAUGUGAAAGUCCACGGCUCAACCGUGGAAGUGCAUUUGAAACUGUGAGGCUUGAGUAUCGGAGGGGAGUGUGGAAUUCCCGGUGUAGAGGUGAAAUUCGUAGAGAUCGGGAGGAACACCGGUGGCGAAGGCGACACUCUGGACGAAUACUGACGCUGAGGCGCGAAAGCGUGGGGAGCAAACAGGAUUAGAUACCCUGGUAGUCC
rnacentral:rRNA from 1 species